AACGAACGCUGGCGGCAGGCCUAACACAUGCAAGUCGAGCGAAGCCUUCGGGCUUAGCGGCGGACGGGUGAGUAACGCGUGGGAACGUGCCCUUUGGUACGGAAUAGCCCCGGGAAACUGGGAGUAGUACCGUAUGUGGUCGAGAGACGAAAGAUUUAUCGCCAAAGGAUCGGCCCGCGUUGGAUUAGGUAGUUGGUGGGGUAAUGGCCUACCAAGCCGACGAUCCAUAGCUGGUUUGAGUGGAUGAUCAGCCACACUGGGACUGAGACACGGCCCAGACUCCUACGGGAGGCAGCAGUGGGGAAUCUUAGACAAUGGGGGAAACCCUGAUCUAGCCAUGCCGCGUGAUCGAUGAAGGCCUUAGGGUUGUAAAGAUCUUUCAGUGGGGAAGAUAAUGACUGUACCCACAGAAGAAGCCCCGGCUAACUCCGUGCCAGCCGCCGCGGUAACAC
rnacentral:rRNA from 1 species